GGCCAGACUCCUACGGGAGGCAGCAGUGGGGAAUAUUGCACAAUGGGGGAAACCCUGAUGCAGCGACGCCGCGUGAGCGAAGAAGUACCUCGGUAUGUAAAGCUCUAUCAGCAGGGAAGAAGAUGACGGUACCUGACCAAGAAGCUCCGGCUAAAUACGUGCCAGCAGCCGCGGUAAUACGUAUGGAGCAAGCGUUAUCCGGAUUUACUGGGUGUAAAGGGAGCGCAGGCGGCCUUGCAAGUCUGAUGUGAAAGGCCGGGGCCCAACCCCGGAACUGCUUUGGAAACUGAGCAGCUAGAGUGCAGGAGAGGUAAGUGGAAUUCCUAGUGUAGCGGUGAAAUGCGUAGAUAUUAGGAGGAACACCAGUGGCGAAGGCGGCUUACUGGACUGUAACUGACGUUGAGGCUCGAAAGCGUGGGGAGCAAACAGGAUUAGAUACCCCAGUAC
rnacentral:rRNA from 1 species